rnacentral:rRNA from 1 species
GACGAACGCUGGCGGCGUGCCUAAUACAUGCAAGUCGAGCGGAUUGAUGGGAGCUUGCUCCCUGAUAUCAGCGGCGGACGGGUGAGUAACACGUGGGCAACCUGCCUGUAAGACUGGGAUAACUUCGGGAAACCGGAGCUAAUACCGGAUAAUCCUUUUCCUCUCAUGAGGAAAAGCUGAAAGACGGUUUCGGCUGUCACUUACAGAUGGGCCCGCGGCGCAUUAGCUAGUUGGUGAGGUAACGGCUCACCAAGGCGACGAUGCGUAGCCGACCUGAGAGGGUGAUCGGCCACACUGGGACUGAGACACGGCCCAGACUCCUACGGGAGGCAGCAGUAGGGAAUCUUCCGCAAUGGACGAAAGUCUGACGGAGCAACGCCGCGUGAGCGAAGAAGGCCUUCGGGUCGUAAAGCUCUGUUGUUAGGGAAGAACAAGUAUCGGAGUAACUGCCRGUACCUUGACGGUACCUAACC